rnacentral:tRNA from 1 species
GGAUAUAGUAAAAUGGUAAAAUUUAUCUUU